GCUAUUUUGGCAGAUUAGUGCAAUAAAUUUAGAAUUUAUUUAUGUGAUUUAUAUUACAGAUAGUA
rnacentral:tRNA from 1 species